GCUAAUUCAUAACAAAUUAAGCCGCGUCUCAAAAUUUUAAUUCUGGCGCUCAACUCCCUUCUUCUCCCCUUACCUUUCCUUGCGUCGUCCCCUCAAAAAAUAAAAAGCUAAACUGCAUCCCAAAGUUUCAAUUCUCGUUGCUCGCAUCCUGUUCUCCGUCAACCUUCUCGCCGCAGCUAGUUCUCUUCGUUGUCCCAUCUCUUUUAGGCUUGUUCAAUUCGUUUAUCUGAUUUUUGUUUUAAGAAUUAGGGUUUGUUCAAUUCGUUUUUAGGGUUCUGUGAUUUUGUUCAAUUCGUUAUUAGGGUUUGUUCAAUUCGUUUGUUCAAUUCGGUUUUAGGGUUCAAUUUGUUUGUUCGUUCAAUUCGUUUGUAGGGUUUGUUCAAUUCGUUUUAGGGUUGUUCUCGAAGAUGGAUAUGCCGAAGACAUUAGAUGCGACUGGGGCAGCUGGUGAGAAGCGGACAUUGGAGGUGGAUGCUGUGAUUUGAGCUGAUUGGGCCAAUUCUAGGGUUGCUAAGUUUAUUUCUGCUGGGGAUUAUGAGUAUCUAUUGCCUUUCAGGAGCUCUAAUCUGUACGCAGUCAGCUUGUUGUAGAGCAGUCUUGGUGUUUUAAGCUUGAGUAAUUGAUGCAUACAUAAUUUCUCAUCUAUUUGCUCCCAAGUAAUUGACGCGUGCAUAAUGCCUUGACGGAGGGGAGGGGGUCUGAUUUCUUCAACCAUCAGAAAUCUGUUUCUGACAACCUUGCAGCUUUGGCAUAGAUUGCUUAUUCAGGCAAAGAUUGUGGUUCUGGUUGAGUACAGAAAUAAGGAUCUUAAUCACGUGGAGUGGGCCAAGGCUUUGAAGGAGCUCUACUUACCAGGUUUGAGGGAUUAUGUUAAGAGUUUCUAUCCACUUGGACCACUGUGGAGUUUCUGUAGCAAAGCUAUUGUCUCUGCUGCGCCUAAAUCCCCUGCACCAGCUGCUCCUGCAACACCCCCACCACCUCCUGCUCCUUUCUUCUCAGAUCUAAACCUUCCUCUUCAAAACCAAAGAGAAUGGAAGAACUUGAAAGUGAAACGAGAAGAAUGAGGAAAGAUCUAGACAAAGAAAAGCCAGAAGGCAUCUAUAGCUGAACUGAAAACAUAGCUAGAUGAAGAGCGUGACCAAAGAAGAGAAGAGCGAGAAAAGGCUGCUGCAGAUCUGAAAGCUUCAAUACAAAGGGUUCAGUCCGAGGCUGAAGAAGAAUUAAAACGAGCAUCAGAUGCUGCUUCGAGGCGAGAAAGAAAACAACAAGAAGUUAUCAGUAAACUUCAGGUCUAUACUCCGAGGAAUGCGCCUUAUGGUAGUGAGGAAAUUGAUGUGGUUCGUGAGCAAUGGGAUAAGUUUUUUACCUGCAAGUAUUUAUUAUUGGCCUGAGCGCGUUUGAUCGAGUUGGCUUAGAUGUUAUAGAACAAUCUUUUAUAUUAAAAUGUAUGCGUACGUUGAAAUUGGAACACAUAUAUUUAAAUGUACUACAUGCACUUUGUUUUGGGAUAUAUAAUAUACAAAACACCAGUUAUUGUUUUUAUAA